ensembl:lncRNA
UGUGUGUGUGUGUGUGUGUGUUUCUGGCGUUCCCUGUGUGUGUGUGUGUGUGUUUCUGGCGUUCCCUGUGUGUGUGUGUGUGUGUUUCUGGCGUGUUCCCUGUGUGUGUGUUUCUGGCGUUCCCUGUGUGUGUGUGUGUGUGUGUGUGUUUCUGGCGUUCCCUGCGUGUGUGUGUGUGUGUUUCUGGAGUUCCCUGUGUCUGUGUGUGUUUCUGGAGUUCCCUGUGUGUGUGUGUGUUUCUGGCGUUCCCUGUGUGAGUGUGUUGUUUUCUGGCGUUCCCUGUGUGUGUGUGUGUGUUUCUGGCGUUCCCUGUGUGUGUGUGUGUGUGUUUCUGGCUUUCCCUGUGUGUGUGUGUGUGUGUGUGUGUUUCUGGCGUUCCCUGUGUGUGUGUGUGUGUGUGUUUCUGGCGUUC